UAUUUUUGUCGUCUGACAUCAUAUCAGUCUGCUGGUGGUCCAUUACAUUAUUAAUAUUAAAUCGUUAAUGAGCUAAAUGAAUUUUAAAAAGUAGUUUAACGGUCAUUUUGUGGCGCAAUGCAAAACAAAAACAAACAUGGCGGACAGGAAGCUGGAGUCCCGCCAUUAAACCAGAGAAGAAGAAAACGCCGGAGAGGGCUCCAGGUGUACUGUAACGUGCUCGGACCGUUUGACGGGCUAAUAAAUAAAAGUCAGUCCACUUCUGCAGAGCGGAAACUGUGAAGAAUAACGCUUCGGCACCGAGGAAACGUUGGUUCUGGAUCCAAACGGCUGCUGUUGUCCGCGGUGGAAACUUUGGAGGCUAAUGAGAAAGCUAGCUAGCUAGCUAACGUCUGUUCGGCUGUGUCAGUGAUGCUAAUGUGGAACAACAACGUCUACUGUCACGUUUGUUUUCAUGGAUUUACGACUUUACAGUGCUGGACUGUGAAAAAUGGAAAUACUGGAGACAAUACUGAGCACAGUCAGCCCGCUGCAGGUUCUGGAGCUCUGAAGAAGUUCAGCACUGAACGCAGCUGAGCGGGGACACAGCUAACGGACAGAGGAGCUGCUCCACAGAGAGACCCCAUGAUGACAAAAACUGAAUCUAAACGACAUGUUCAAGUUUAGAGCCACGUGAAGAUGCUGUGAAAGAUGCUGCAGGUUCAUCCACCUCCAGCUCCAACUGAGGAACACAAAAUCAGACAGUGAUUGAACUGUUUGAACCUGGUCAGUGACGGAGAACUCGCCUCUGUUCCACCAAGAAGGAAUCAUAAAAACAUGCUCAGACAUCUGAAGAUGGAUGACUCAGUGAGAGUUUAACUAAAAGGCAAACCUUCUUCUUCCUCUUCCUCCUCUUCACCUCCUCUUCUCUUCCUCUUCUUCUUCUUUUUGCUUUUUAGCAGUAUCAACUGAAUGAAUUCAUUAACUUAGAGCUCCAUGAAUUGAUGAUAUGCUGUACCAAACACUUUAAGAACAAGGAUUAGUAUCCUGUUGCAUGGAAAACAUCAGUUCUGGUUAAGUAAAGUGUAAUAUGGUAUCAUUAAAUGAUGAUUUAUACACCAGCCUACUCUACAUGAUAUUUCCUGCAGUAUAUUAUGUUUUACCCCUUUUGUUCAGUGUAUAUCUUGUCUUCAGUUCAUUACAAUCUCUCUCGUUUGUUUCUUCCUAUUAUUUAAAUCAUUUGACUGGACGUUUAGUGUCUUCUGUCAGGACAGCUUGUCAUGUUGUAUCUCUGAUUCAUACAGCAAAUAGAAUAAAGGUAAAUUCUGUCUGUGUGUAAACUGUAGUCAGACAUGUGUCAUGCUGCUGUGUGCUGAGGAAGGCUCACAGACUCUUUUUAUAGUCUUUCUGACUUUCCUCCAGCUUUAUGAGUCCUGAAAUGGGCUGUCUGUUCCCAUCUCCUCUCUCAGGUGUCCUUUAUGUCUCUCUGCGCCCUCACUGCCUGUCACAAUUUAUGGCAGAUAUCUUGUUUGUCCAUGUAGCAGUCACAAGUCUGGUGAUAAAUGUCUGCAUGUUGAAGUGUUCUUCCUCCUCUCCCGUCUGA